rnacentral:lncRNA from 1 species
UUAUUUAUAGAUCAGUACAAGCCAGGUGCUAUUUACUAAGGAUGACUCCAAUGUCAUUUCAGUGAUCAAGACUACCACCCUAUCGGAGUCUGAGAGUGCCAACGUCUGUGGGACAAAACUGUAUACUAAGAGGUCCCUCAGGUGCCCAAAGGAUCUUGGCAUUUGCUGUCCACAAUACCUCAAGUCUCCACUCCUUGUGUCCUGGUACAAUGCACCUCAGUCAUCCCAGACAUGGCUCCAGUUGGGCUCAGGUCAUUUUGAUGAUUUAUAAAGAAAAAAGACUGGACACUAACUUGCCUGCCGUAAAAAUUCCAGCUCACAAAGUAAGUGUUACUCAAUAAAUCAUUUAAAUUAAUUUGAAAU